UUCAGGGCAAAGCCCUCGCCGCUCUGCCCACCAGCCCCAGGGGAAGGAGCAGAGCUGGACUCGCUGCUGGAGAAGGUCCCCCGUAGCUUUAUUUGCUGCAGGACCCACUGAAAUCAUCCUCAGCUUUAACAACACCACAGGCUACUCGGAAUGCAAAAAAUCUAUGUAAAUAUACCCUCUGGUUGCAGCUGCUGUGGAAAAAGAAGAAAUUAUAAGGGAGGGGAAGCUGAAUUGUAAAGGUUAAGAAACUUCUCAGGUUCACAAAGCAAGCAGUGGCAAGAUGAGGAAUAAACCCACGGUCUGGUCUCCUGUUCCAGCCACUAGACCUUGUGUUCCUCCACACUCAUGCAAGUUACAGUAAAUGCAUUAUGAGUAAACUGCGGGCAGGUGAAGGAGGUGUCAUUUACAGAAGAAGAAAAAGGAAAAUCACUACAGGGAAUCAGAAGCACACAGGCAUGUAUGCACUUACUUGCAUAUUAAAUAGACAAGAUAAAACUGUUUCUACCCUGCAGAGAUGAGUUAAACAUUGAAAACCAGCGGAGGGCAAACAUGGUCAUUCACUGAUCUCUGAGGUGUAACAGCUACAACUCACAAGGGUUGGGAGGCAGAGGCUGAGGCAAACUGGCUUUGCCUUGUACUUCUCAAGCUCACAAAUUGAAAGGAGAAUGCUGGGAAUGCAAUGUUAAAGUUCUAAAACUGACCCUCGGUCUGCCUUUCGAUAUCAGCAGCUAAAAGGGCAAAACCAGAGAGAUACAAAGAUACAAAGCUUCUGUAAGAUCCAGGUCUGCCUGGAAGGAGGUGAGGGGAGGCUGUCACCCCGAAUAACAGUCAGCACUUCAGAAGGAGACAGUGCUGAAGUUUGCACCAGGAUUUUAUGCCACAGCCAAAUAAAUCACCACGUCUUGUAUGUGCUACUGUUAAAUGUUAAUAAAUCUUGGCAAAGACCUCACCAAACAACAAAACUGUGUCCCUGUGAAAUACUGUUCAGAAGACCAAUGCAACUCCCACGAACUGAUGUAUCCACCCGUGUAAGUUUAUUGGCAGGAGAUAAAUCUGGUAUAUUUUACACGGUCAUAUAUUAUUAAAAUGCAGAUGGGCCCAGGCACAGCUUACACAACCAGUAUCUCCAUAAGAGGCUCUGCACCUCUACAAUCCAGGGAAUUAUUUUAGGUAAAAGUACAGGAAAAGAUAAUUUAUCUCCUUGGUGGGAGGGAUGAUUUUUGGUAUCGCUAACCUUUCUCAGCAGUAAAGGUGAAAAGAAAAUCGAGUUGGAUCCACCAGUCUCACCUGAAAUCUGUGUCAGGUCCCUGUAAUUCUUUACAAUUAUUAAACACUGAGCUGCAGCAUAGCAUAAUAAAUUACUGUUUCUCAGGUUUUUGGAAGUUAUCUGUUACAGUAAUCUACUAUUAUCAGACAAGAACGGCUUGGUUGCUCUUCGUUUUUCAUCUUUUCUCUGAAGCCCAAGAGAGAUUAGUGCUCUAUUAAAUUUGAAUACCAUACCCAUUGCGGCUCAGCUGCCUUUUUAGGUGUCAGAUCUUACCAACAGCCAAGUGAUGCAUAUUUUCCUCAGAAAACAAUUUCUCACACAACUUCCAAUUUUCUUAUUCUGCAGAACUUGCAGAAGAAGGGGUUGCUUUGAGGGUCAGGGGUUCUGUCACAGAUUCACUAGGAAGUACAGUGUACAUACACUGACAACAGGGAAGGCUUUAUCUUCCCAUGUAAACACAGACUUCCUUGCUUAGUCCUUAUACCUUGUAGGGCUUCCCAAAUGAAGCCUCCCAAUUGCAGGUUACCACAGAAGAGCUGAAAUAGGAUGGACCCCAUCUCUACUUACCAGUAGGACCAAGAAAACAACCUUUGAAUUUUCUGAUUGAUACAGGAACUCAAAUGUCUCUGAUGACCCCCAUGGAUACUAAUAAAUCUGACAAAAAACAUUUUUUCUAAGAAGAUCUCAAAAGGAUGGAUAUCUACUCUAACUUAUGUUUGUUUACAUAGUGUGAAGAACCUCGAUCAGUAUUGUUAAGAUACUAGAUAAUUUGAAUAAGAUUUUGAUGGCUUUGAUUAAUAUUUGUAUAUAUUUUGUCUCAAUAGUUUUGCAGUGUGUGUAUACGAAUUUUCCACAAGCAUUGCUUUGCAAUGUGUGUGCCUUCUCUCUGGUUGCCACAGUGGAUGGAGAAGAUUCCUCCCUGAAUUUGGAUGAUUAUGGAAUCAAGUUUUUGUCCUUCUUCCUACCUCCUCAGGGGCCUCAUAGCCCCCAUAUCCAUCACAGCCCCUACAGAGUCACAGGCUCCAAAGCCCUCAUAGACCCUAGAGUCCCUAUAGCCAUUAUAGCCUUCAGAGCCCCCAUAGCUCUCACAGUCCUCACAACCCCCACAGCCCCAUAGUCCUCACAGCUCCUAUAGCCCUCACAGACCCCAUAAAUCUCACAGCCCCCAUAGCUCUCAAAGCCCAUCACAGCCCCUAUAGCCAUUACAGCCCCCAUAGCCUUCACAGCCCUCUUAGCCCUGAUAGUUCUCAUAGCCCUCAUGUUCCCUAUAGCCCUCCCAGCCCCUAUAGCCCCUCAUAACCCUUAAAGCCCCCAUAGCCCUCAUGACCCCCACAGUGCUCACAUCCCCCAUAUGCCUCACAGACCCCACGGCCCUCACACAACCCAUAGUGGUAACAAACCUCAAACCAUCAGAGCCCCCACAGAGCUCACAGACCAAAUAGCACUCACAGUCCCAUAAGCCUCAGAGCCCCUGUAGCCCUCACAGCCCCUAUAGCCACCAUAGCCGGCAAAGACCCCAGAGCCCUCAAAGAACCUAUUGACCUCAAAGCCUCCAUUGCCUUCACAGACCUCACAGCCCCCAUGACCCUCUACAGCUCUCAAAGUCCUCAGAGGCCUUAUAGCCCUCACAGACCCCACAGCAUCUUCAGGACUUUUAUCACACCUCAGGAUACAAAGUAGAUGAGGAAUUAAGUACACUAAAAAAAAAGCAACUCUCAUGAAGUGUUUUAGCUGGAGAGUCCAUUAUGCUGCAAAAAGUUAUUUCCAGGUUCAAACAGAUGUGCUGGUUAUGAGUAUUCACUUCUCUUGUAUAGAUAGAGACUGGUCUCUACACAAAGUCUCUUAUUUUUCUAGGCUUGGAUAUGUCUCAGAUUUUUCAGAUGUCCAACUGAAUUCCCUUCAGUUGCGCUCCUGGUAGUUCUUUGCGUUCUCCCGGGAGGUCUCUGGAAUUGAAAGGAGGUGCCCAAAACUGAGCUCUGUUCUUCAUGAAAGCCUUUUUUGAGCUCAGUGGAGCAGAAGAAUUAUUUCGCUCUUGUCUUUUACAGCCUUUUCCUACGUUUCAGUAGCAGAGUCACAUUUUUUGUGGUGACUCAUUUUCUAUUUGUGAACUGCUAUGAACCAAGAUUUUCUGUAAAGUGACUGCUUCGCCACUUUGUCUUCAGCUCACAGUUUUGCAGCCAAUUAUUCCCAGCUAUAUGUAAUAGUUUCUCACCUUAUUGAAUUACAUCCUGUUUAGUUCAGAUCUUUGUUCCAACUUGUCAUGAUUUGUUCAAUUCUAAUUACAUCUUCCAAAAUGCUUACAGCUCCCGCCUGAACAGGAUAUCCUCCACAAAUAAGAUAAAAAUAUUCCCUAGGCUCUUGCCUCACAGAAGCAGUUCAGGACUUGGGAUGUGAGCAUCUGGAGGACUCUCUGCAAACUUGACACUAUUUCUGAGCGCCAUUUUGUAACCAUUUCACUUAAGUGUUGUGUAGCCAGCUUCUUGACCUUGCUUCAGUCAAGAUUCCAUAAUUUGCUUUUUUUUUGAUGUUAUGGUUGAUUAUUAUUCAACUUAUCAUCUGAGGCGUUACAAAUAACUUGCAAUUAAUUUACAAAUAAUUUCUUCCAGUAUUUUGCCUGAUACAAAAUAAAGGUGACUGGCCUCUGAUUCCCACCCUUUUCUCGUUUAGGGUAGGCACUAUUUCCUUUUUGCUGGUCUCAUGGAACCUCAGCUGUCUUUUCGGAGUUCUUGAAAGGAAUUGCUAAUAGCUUGGAGAUUACUUAACCAUUUUUCUAAAUGUGUUGUCUAAAAUUGCAGAUUAUUUUUGUAAGCAUCCUACUUGAAUAGAUUGUUUCUUUCCUUAGUUUACCUUGAUCAUUGGUUUGCAUGUUGUUAACAUGUGCUGGGUUUGGCUGGGGUAGAGCUAAUUCUCUUCACAGUAGCUGGUGUGGGGCUGUGUUUUGGGUUGGGUAUAUUCUCUUCCCUUGUUAACCACCUGGUUACAGCUGACAUUUUGGUGAAGAGCAAAGCAAAAACCAUGAGGCUUUGGUUUUCCUCAAAUGACUUGGGAACACUUUCCUUGCCCAGUUGAGAGCAAGUCCUUCCCCAACAAUCUUUCACGUAAUCUUUUUGUUUUUACUCUCUGUGGCUUCUUGACAGUUUUAGCUUAUAUUGUGUGUUAAUCUUUGUGUUGUUGAUUGUGAGAAAUAGAGACCCAAAGCCGGGUAAUUUCAACUUAGAAUUUAUUAUAUGAUAAAAGCAAAUUCAGCGCUGGGUGAUCAGGGGGGAGUUUGAGCAACUCUGAACGCCUGUCACACCCAAAGCAGACAGUGUUCUAUAUUUAUUCUCAGCUACUUCAUGAAUAUUCAUUAUACAUAAGCAUAAACAUUACACAUUGUUAUGUCAGGAAUUCAACAGCUGUUUUUCUUAGACAAGAGUGUAUCUACAUACAAGCAUCAAUAUAUAUUGUUAAGUCAGACAUUCAACAGAUGUUUUCUUAGACUUAGUUUGUUAUCUAUACAAAGUUAUAAAUUUUCAAGAAAGGUGUUAUUAUCUAGUUAACUAAACGAAGUCUCCUCACUAUAAAUUUUGUACAAGGUAAAAGGGAGGUAACUUGUUUUAUGUCUUUAUAGGGGCCCAAUUAAGUUUUGUGAUUUGUUUUUCUUUUCUCUCUCUAGGUUAUAUUGACCUUAUGCUGUUUUCUUUUUAAUUAGCUUGAAUCAUUCCCUUAGUUUAUUACAUUGAUUUUAAUAAUUUAACCUAGAUUUUGCUUUUUUAAAAGGGGCAAGCCAUUGAAAUAUUUCAAUUUAAACAGUCUCUUCCCUUCCUUUCUUGCUUUCUCACUGCAGUGGUCUAGUUGCAGCCUUGAUGUUUCUUGGAAAUAAAUAGGACGGUUUUAUUACAAGCAGGGGUUUCCAUGGCUGCCUCGUGCUGGGGCACUUGGGAGCCAUUUUGUUUGAAGGACUGGGGAGCCAUUUUGUGGUCGGGGACUGGUGGACAGCUUGUGGUUCUGCUUGAAGUUGCUUAUUGCUGCUGCCUGCCUGCUGCUACACACAGUUCUGCUUGGGUGCGAAGGCGAGCCUGGAAGAAUGUAAGGUGGUGAGAGCAGCCUGGGCUCACUGCCAGGGAACCAUGCGGCCUGGGCGGGGAAACAACCUGACAGGUGGAUGAGGACAACCUGCACCAGAAAGCAAAGCUUGCCUUUUAAGGAAGAAAAGAGCGAGGGCUGGCAUGGGAGGAGCGAGGGAGUGGCUAUGUUAAAUUGAAGGGUCUUAAAAGGGCUCGUCCCUCCCAUCCAGGUGUGCUUGAACUGGGCCACAAGUUCGAUGCACCCAGUACGCUGUUAAAUAAAGUUCCUUGUUUCACUUUA